UACGUAGGGUGCGAGCGUUAAUCGGAAUUACUGGGCGUAAAGGGUGCGCAGGCGGCGCCGCAAGUCAGGCGUGAAAUCCCCGGGCUUAACCUGGGAACUGCACUUGAAACUACGAUGCUGGAGUAUGGCAGAGGGAGGUGGAAUUCCACGUGUAGCGGUGAAAUGCGUAGAGAUGUGGAGGAACACCGAUGGCGAAGGCAGCCUCCUGGGCCAAUACUGACGCUCAUGCACGAAAGCGUGGGGAGCAAACAGG
rnacentral:rRNA from 1 species